CCACUCAGUCACCGCCCAGGCCGCGCCGCGAGCGAUACCCCGUUGAACCCGACGCACGAGCACGCGUUACACGAACCCAAAGUACCCCGGAUGAAAGUUAACGUGUCGACCAAGCACCCGCCGACAGACGACGAAUGAACAAUCGGUAGAUGAAAAACCGCGAGUGAAGCUCAGACAGGUGAGGGUCGUUUCUCGCCAGCAGGGUCGAACUUCGACGAUAACCGAGUGACAACGGCCGCCGGAGAAGUUUCGAAAGGUAAACGGCCCGCUGCUCGGUGAAAUUCAUCUCGUCAAUUAAGACGGGGUGUUAAUAUUUGCACGAGUUGACCGCGAAGUUUACGACACUGGUGCACCGCUGAAACACCAACGACUCGGACUUGAUUCGGUGAAACAGAGCCAGGGUGGAGGGCAAACCUCCGCAUCCUGACGACAGCAGCAGUCGCUUCCUCUGGAGGCGUUACGAAGACAGUCAAGAUUCAUCGCUGCGAGAAGAUGUCGGAAAGUCAAGUUUUCAGCAGAGGGCGAUCAUGACAGGAACAUUCCGGAGAUCGGUGAGUACAGAGAGCGCGGGGGAGGAUGAGGAGAGCAUCGCCGGGGGCAUCGGCCUGGCAGGCGACCAAGAGGGCGAAGGAAGGAGAAGUAGCGGAGGGUCGUUUCCGCUGAGAAUGGCGGCUGCGAUGAGGGCGCGUUCCGGUACCGGCGGAUUUCUCCGCGGCCCUCCCGCGUCUAACCCGAACUACGACCCAGAGGCUCCACCGCAACCACCCCUAUUUUUACAGUCUACGAUGCAGACGGCCAAUCUACUCGAGAAACCGGAAAUCGACAAGAAAGUCAAGAGGCACAGCAUACACGGAAUGAUGGAGGAGGAGAACGUAGUUCGACCUCAUCAAGAAAUGGCAAGUCUCACUCUGGACGAAAAAAAAUAUCUACUGGCAGUUGAACGUGGUGACAUUGCUUCCGUAAGACGAAUGCUUCAACGUGCCCAAGAAACCGACUACACGAACAUCAACUGCGUGGAUCCUCUGGGAAGGUCUGCUCUUUUAAUGGCAAUCGACAACGAGAACCUGGAAAUGGUAGAGCUACUAAUAGAGCAUCGGGUAGAUACCAAAGAUGCCUUGCUCCACGCCAUCUCAGAAGAAUUUGUGGAGGCUGUCGAGGUUCUUCUAGAGCACGAGGAGAGCUUCCACAGGAGUGGAGAUCCUCACGUAAGCAGCUCUGUGUCGUCGGCUUGCCGCCUGCCAAGUUGGGAGGCACUUCCUCCCGAUACGGCCACCUUCACCCCAGACAUCACUCCGUUGAUUCUUUCCGCGCACAGAGACAAUUACGAAAUCAUUAAGAUCCUGCUAGACAGAGGCGCCACGUUGCCGAUGCCGCAUGAUGUUCGCUGUGGGUGUGACGAAUGCGUAACAUCACGAAUGGAAGAUUCUCUGAGGCACUCACGGAGCAGAAUUAACGCUUACCGGGCUUUGGCAUCGCCGUCUUUGAUAGCACUUUCUUCCAAGGACCCCAUACUUACUGCGUUCGAACUUUCGUGGGAGCUUCGGCGGCUGUCUUUCCUCGAGCACGAAUUCAAGCUUGAAUACCAGGAACUGAGACGACAGUGCCAGGACUUCGCAACAGCUUUGCUGGAUCACACGAGGAGUUCUUACGAACUUGAAGUGCUCUUGAACCAUGACCCCACGGGACCAGCCUUUGAGCACGGGGAAAGGAUGCACUUGAACCGUUUGAAAUUGGCAAUAAAGUUGCGUCAAAAGAAGUUCGUUGCACAUCCUAACGUGCAGCAGCUGCUUGCAUCCAUUUGGUACGAGGGACUGCCUGGUUUCCGUCGGAAAAAUAUUUUGCUUCAAGCCUUGGAGACUAUGCGGAUUGGAAUUCUCUUCCCAUUUCUCAGCGUGGCUUACAUCAUAGCACCUCACAGUGUCGUCGGUCAGACUAUGAGAAAACCCUUCAUCAAGUUCAUCUGUCAUUCCGCCUCAUACUUCACGUUUCUGUUCAUGUUGAUUCUUGCCAGUCAAAGAAUAGAGAAUCUACUUGGAAUUGGAGUUCCUUCAGAGCUAGAGAAAAGAGGAGAAAUGCCCUCAGCCGUCGAAGCAUUCAUCAUAGCGUGGGUUUCCGGGCUGAUAUGGUCAGAGGUGAAACAGUUGUGGGACGUCGGUUUGGAGGAGUAUGUGCAUGACAUGUGGAACGUGAUAGACUUUGUAACGAACUCCUUAUACGUGGCUACUCUCGCGUUAAGGAUUGUGGCCUACUACCGAGUGCAGGAAGAAAAGCAAAAACUCAUUGACAGUGAGCGUCUCCGUCGGGAAGAAUGGGAUGCGUGGGAUCCUAUGUUGAUUUCCGAAGGACUCUUUUCAGCUGCUAAUAUUUUCAGCUCGCUGAAGCUUGUUUACAUCUUCUCUGUAAACCCUCAUCUGGGACCUUUACAAGUAUCGCUAUCCAGGAUGGUGAUGGACAUCAUGAAGUUCUUUUUCCUCUACGUUUUGGUUCUUUUCGCGUUUUCAUGUGGCCUCAACCAACUCUUGUGGUACUACGCUGACAUGGAGAAGAAACGUUGUCCAUCCAAUAGCUCUGACAUCUCGAGUACCAACAGUACAGCAAAUUCCAAUAAUAAUUCUUGCGUUUUGUGGAGAAGGUUCGCUAAUCUAUUCGAGACAACGCAGACCUUGUUCUGGGCGGUGUUUGGGCUCGUUGAACUCGAGAGUUUUGAGUUGGACGGAAUCAAGGUGUUCACGAGGUUCUGGGGAAUGCUCAUGUUUGGCACCUACUCGGUCAUCAACAUCGUAGUUCUUCUGAAUCUUCUCGUUGCCAUGAUGAAUCACUCCUAUCAGCUGAUAUCCGACCGUGCUGACACUGAGUGGAAAUUUGCUCGUAGUAAGCUGUGGAUUAGUUACUUUGAAGAAGGUGGUACAGUACCUCCUCCAUUCAACAUCAUUCCAGCACCGAAGAGUGCCUGGUACAUCGGUCAGUGGAUUUAUCGGAAGUUGUGUGGUCACAGACGUGCCGCGAAGAAAGAGCACAUGCGGACGAUCAGGCGAAAGGUGAAACAGGCAUCAGAAAGAGACUUCAGGUAUCAAACGAUCAUGCGUAAUCUUGUAAGGCGGUACGUUACGGUUGAACAACGCAAGGCAGAAGGCGAAGGUGUCACCGAGGACGACGUGAACGAGAUCAAGCAAGAUAUUAGUGCCUUCCGAUGCGAGCUUAUCGAGAUCUUGAAAAAUUCUGGCAUGAACACGUCAACAGCGACCGGCGCUGGAGGCGGUGGUAGCUUUAAAGCACUGUCUUUAGGUGCUGGUGGAAAGAAGAACCGACAAAAAGAACGGAGACUGAUGAAAGGGUUCAACAUCGCCCCUCAACCAGGAGGAAGUGGGACCUUACCACCUGUGGCAGAAUUCAUAGCCUCCCUUCAGCAAGCACACCACGAACACGCUCACCAUGACCUCUUUGGUAGCACCCUCAGUGGGAUUUUCGGUCCUGGAGCGACACCAAAGAAGCAUCCUCAUCACACAAGUACUAACAGUGUCCCAGGUCUUACGACAGGUCCAAGACCUCCAAGGGGUACUAGAGAAAGUUCUAGAAAAAGAAGAUGGGGCACCUUAAUUGAAGCUGCAAAAGUGGGACGCGUAUCGAAAUUGAUUGCAGGUCGAUCUCGGUCGGAGGAUUCAGUUUAUUCACCAGCAUCGGAUGAUGGCUCCCGAUCUGAUGGUUCAUCGGACUCCAAGUCAUCUCUAGACGUCACGACGCCAGAUUCGCAUGCUCAUCAGCAUGUCCAUUCCCAUCAUCAUCAUCCUCACGAUGUCCACCAUAUGUUUUCCCACGGUUUGGGACCAGCUCUAGCAGCACUGCGAAAAAAGCGGAAGAAAUUUUCAGCAUCUCGUGCUUCAACGCCAGCAAUGGCGAGCCAUACCAAUCCGGUAGAAAGUGUUAUGCAUCCGAUAACCUCCGCCCUAGCAUUAAAGGUCACCAGGAAGCAGUUGCAGAGAGCAAGCAGCGUUCCAACGAGAGGACCCGAGACUGUAAUACCUCCGAUCACACCUCGAUGUCACGAGGUUACCCAGAGUCAGCAGCCAAGUUUAGACGCAGUUGAGAUGAUCGCUAGCCACGAAGCACAGGGAGUUAUUGUUGCCGCCGGGCCAUUGACGCCAUCAACGACGGAGGAAAGUGUCAUCGCAACUGCAACCGGAACCGGAACUGGAACUCCAGUUUCAUUGACAUCAGUAAAGAGAAAUGGUUCCGCCACCCAAUUGCAACGAUUGCCAGGCAUUGAGCCCAUCUCUGGCCACGAUGUGUCUGCGGGAUGGCUGUGAAACUCCGCAUCAGCUGACGUAGUAUGAUCUGGUUGAGAAGAGUCUCUGCCAGUCUACAAACUACUCAGCUGUAAUAUCUAGCAGAGAUUUCGAGUGUUCACUGCGGCGCGGCGGCUGUGAAAAGUCCUCAUCAUGCCCAUGCACAACGAUGCCUUAAUGCCAACGCGCUUCGAGGUCGCGUUGACUUGAACUUUUCUAGCCCGUGCUUUUAUCUCGGAUUCUCAACGUUCCUCCUUAUUCGGUGUUCAAUCGUAUUUUUCUGUUUGAUUUUUCACAUUAGAGUUCGUGCGGUUAUCGAUCACUGAAACUACACAGUCUAAGAAUAUUUGUAACCACUAACAUCCACCAUUGCGCAAAUGAUUCGCAGAAUUUUACAAUAUUCUAAUAAGGAACGACAGAGAAACGAAGAUACCUCACUUAAAAUUUAAACAUACGAAAUGUCUUCGAGUGCCCCGAAUCUCCUAUGUUUGGCCUUAUUCACUUUGACCACGACAUAUUUCUGAAAACUCUCUUAUCUGUACCCACUGCAAGGCCCACGAUAAAUACAUCUAUUUUUCGUCUCCCAACCUAAGUUGAAGCGAUGUUGUAAAGCUUUCACAUGCUCUGCCAUGUAGUAUACGAGAUCACUUGUCAACAAUUAAACCGCAGAUUUCAAAAGCGGGCGUAUUUGAAGCGAAUAGUUGACUACAUGUGAAUAAUGUGUUCGCAAAUGUUCACUAAAUUGUAAUUUGGCAGUCAACGGUGUACAAAUCGUCUAUAAAUUGACUUGUCAUUAAAACAUAAUCAAGCGAAAUUAUGAAAUUUCGAGAAUGACCAGAUUUUUUAAAUCCUAUUGCAUUCGCAAUGGUGGCUACUAUUCGAUAUCCAAUUUUUGUUUUGACACUGUCCUUGAUCUUAAAGUUUUUUAGGACUUUCGUCGACAGACAAUUGGCCCUGCUUAGAUUUUUGAAUCAUUAACAGUCACUAUCGCAUCCUAGGCGAACAGUCACCGCCUUGUCGACUUCCUGCCGACUUCAAGUCAAAUUUUUCAUCUAUUGCCAUUACGUCGUCUUUAAUUGGCCCAAUGAUAGUCGAAAUUUUGACAAUUGUGAUACUUGGGAUGUAACGUCAGAAUAUUUUUUAGCGCACGUCCAAUCGAUGAAGAUAUUUUCUUGUCAGUGGAUCGGUUGUAUCGUGUGAAAUAUUGAAUACGGUGAUGAGAUUCUGGGAAUAAGAUCAAUGCAUUUCUCCGAAACGAAGCGUAACGUUUCGGCCCGAAAUGAGAGCGGCGCCUCUUAGACACAUAAUUUAUUAAAGAAGUUUAGAGAGAGAGAGGAAAAACUAACCUAGGGAAUAAAAAAAAAGGUAUCGUCUUCAAAAAACGGAGGCAAUGCUACUUGUUUUAAAGCUAAAUUAACCUCUAAUCUGUAUGGCCUCGGAGCUUGAUCCUUGGUCCUUUGGUGUUUAUUUUCGUUUUUUUUUUUUUUUCUAUCUAGACUUCUUUGACAAACUGUACGUCCGAGGAGGACCCUUAUUUCGAACCAAAACGUUGCACUACGCCUUGAAAAAAUGCAUUGUCCUUAUUUCAAAAGCAUCUUGACCUCUCUACUGAUGAUAAAGAUCUUUUCGAUUCGAUAAUGGAUUUACCUUGACCCACACCCAUUUUAAAUAUUCUUACCGAUAAUCACAGUGAUGUAUGGAACAGUUGAAUGUUUCACGUAAAGUAUGUUGAACGAUCAGACCAUUAGUUUAAAUUUAUUUUACAACAAUUCGGCUCCAGCUGCAGUUGAAUUUUUUGGAGAAGUGUCGAACCAUGUCUCGUACUUUCAUGAUUUGUUUACUUGGUAUCUAUCCUGCACAAGAUUGCUCCUGAACUUUCAGACGUAUAAUAUACUGCCAAAAUGAGUUUCGCGGGCCAGAAUCAUCAACUAGUCUUGUCAGCCAGUCAUUUAAAUAUAAGCAUUUGUUAAUACAAUAUUAUAAUUAUUAUUAUUAUUAUUAGUGUCCCUAUCUUCGUGUACAAUACUAUUAUCACCAUUACGAUUACGAUUGUUAAACAGUUGCCGCAAAUGGAACCACGCAUGGAUUAGAAAUAACAUUAUUUUUGAUCUUUGUGAUCCAUUUACGACAAAUCUCAACGAAGAAAUUUUGAAACAGAAGUUGAGGAUAUUGACUGUUUCUCCGAAUUUUCUAUUCUCCAAUGCAGAACCGUUUUCGCCCAUAGUUAGUACGUAGUUUAUUCUUAAUUAUUUAUCUUAUAAAUAAAAUUAGUAAAAGAAUUAUGUGUAGUAAAACACGGUACACGGUAUUGGUACAAGUUGAAAGAAAUUGCCACGACCAAACUUCACUUACGAUUAGUAUAGAUAAAAUCAUAAUUUAGGAAAAAUAUGAAAACGACUUGCUAUAGCGCCGAAGUCAGAAAACCACCAAGUCUGGUGCCGAAAAAUCACAAAACAGAGUUUCGAACUCUUACCCGGCAAACGUGACAGUCUAAUUGUGAGCUUAAGUACACUUGUCGUCAUAGCACAACUAUGUAUAGUUAUUCAUAUGAAACUAAUAAUUUUAAGUCUUAGAGAUUACGAGUCGUCUCCUCGUGAGGUUGGAAAAUGAAGGAAACUAUUAUUAUACCUCAUCAGAUUUGAAUCUUUCAAUCGCUCUAAUUAAAGUAAGGAAUACCAAUGGUGCAGUGAAGCAAGUUAAUUAGACCCAACAAAGUCAACCUACUUCCCCUCCCGUCCAUGAGUCAGAUUGGAAAUCUGUUUCCUCGUUUCAAAGGUGUGCAAUGAAAGCUAAGGAAUCUUUGAUGAAUAAGAACUGAUGAAUAAGAAUUCAUCUUUCCUAAUCUAAGAAUCUUUCCUAAUUGCUGAGAAUACAAUGCCUUUUUUUCCAACAAGCCGAAUCAACAUACAUAGUAUAUUCAAGGCACAAGAAAACAAUUCAAUAUCGCACUCACUGCAGAAUGUCUAAUUCGGUUUCGUUCACUGGACCACGAGUGUUUCGUUUGGCAAAUAUGUAUUACAUUUUUGAACGUGUUUUCAGCGUAUCUUGUUCAUCUUUCACACAAUCACCAAUGGUUUGAUCGAUGUUCCUUGGGCAGAUAUUUUUCUCAUCUCUUCAAACAGUCAAUGUUGAUUGGAUGUAACUAUGCCUAGCACGAGUGUAACAUACCUAAAGUUGCAAAUAUUAAUUUCAACUGCGAUUUUAACAAUUUAUACCAUAAAAGGUUUUUGUUAAACUUUCCUGCAAAUCAAGUUACGAACUGAUUAUAUUAAUUCAUAUUGUAAUUUUGAAGAAAACUGUUGCACACUAUAUAAAGAAAUUCUACAAAAUAAACAACCUAGUACAAGCCCGUUUAUAUUUUCCUUGAAAAAAACUUUCGGAAUUUCAAGCAAAUAUAAGUUUACGGCUUUAUUCUCUACAUCGAUAUUCUAUCGUUACUCUUCUUCAAACACAAAUACAACGAUGAUUGUCCACGAAGUUUAUUGUAAGAGACGACUCAUACUAAGCACAAUCAAAUGAAAUUGAAGCGCUACUUACAAGGGACUUUGAUGCCCCCCUCAAAUUUCGUUGCAACUCAUAUAUAUUGAAGAACAUGGAAAAACUAAAAAACACGUAUUUAUUUUAACCAGCGAAAAACAGUUUCACGGGAUGAAAACGACUUUCAAAUAUGAUCGCUCAAUGGGGUGGUUUUGCAGUUUCGGAUAGAAUCGCUUGAUGUACUUUGUAACACCAAUCGUGAAUAAUAGCUACAGUUAUUAUAACUAAUACGCAAUUCGAACAAAUGGGUGCCAAUAUAUCUACUUUAUCCUUGAUUUUUAUACUUAAAUAGGAAAAGCUGAGCUCCAGAAAGGUUAUUUUAUGCUGGCCCCCAUACCUUGGCCACGUAGUCCCAACCCAGCUCGCGGCAUAUUGUUUAAUGCGACACCAGGUCGUAAAGAUCGUAACUGCACAAUACCUUUGAUUCAUUGUCCUCCGGUCUCAGGUUCUUGCAAAACAUUGGAAAAUCCUCACACUCACUCUUGCCCGUACCACACACACUACGCAAUACUUUUCGGACAUUCACUUCGUGGAGACCCGUAUCUGAUAUAAUAACACUUCGCCGUCCGCACGAUUCGUAAAUAUUUAUUCGCCUGGCGCCGGCAGCGCUUAUUCGGAUCACUUGACUUGUCGCCGGCCGUUCUUGACAUUAUCGGGAGAUUAUAAAUUGUUAAGUUUUACUAAUCUCUUUGAUCACUUGUGUAACUUAUUGUUACCGAAACAAAACACCAGCAGAAAGCUAAAGACACUAAAGUGUUUUCACCGACCCCGAGCGAUACUGUGCUCACAACACCACUGUGUUGUCGCCGGCCGUUGGCCAGCAGUUUGCGCACGUCACCACUGUGGUGUGCCGGACGGCAAAGUGAUAACUGAGAACUCGUUCACAACUUGAAUGGAACCAACAGUGAAAUAUUUUAUUCAACAAUAGGAACAUUUCAGCGUUGCUUUCAAUCAAAUAUACGUUGAACGCAUCGGGAAAUCACCGCGUCGGAUGCCAAUCUUUGGGGGUCGUUUUUGUCACCUUAAACCUUUUUUCCGCUGUAUUAAGAAAAAAAAAACGUGUUUAGUUUCUAAUAUUUUACAACAUACAUUAGUUGUAACGAAUCCGAAAGGGAACACCAAACUGGUGUUCAUUGUUAGGGAAUAACGCAUGAUCCUCAGAUGAGUAAUGUACUCCUGAACCCAGUGACUAGAACGUAUGUUGUGUUUCCUCUUUCUAACAGAGUUGAGCGUAGAUAUCAAGACGUUACUUGAAAUGGAAUCCGUGAAUUGAAUUGAAUUGAAUUAAAUGGUCCGUUAUGCUGGUGAAACUAUUCCCUAAUAAAUACCAUUUAUUCUGAUACAUUAAUUUAUUAUCUACCCUUUACCCUGUACAAAAAUAGAAGUAAAAAAUGUAAUUUUUUUUACGAUUUAUGCUAUGUUGUUUAAAUAAAACAAUAGACAGAUAUAGAGUGGAACAUAUUAUAUAUUGAGAUUUAUAAGAACGCAUUCUUUUGCUUGGGAUACUGCAAUAAGUUCUAGUCAUUUUCUAGAACGAUUGCACACAAUAUUUACAUAAUUUUAACACACCUUAUGGUGCUGAAGGAUUAGUUGUUCGAUCGUAAU
rnacentral:misc_RNA from 1 species